GAUGGGAGAGAGAAGGAACAGAGACAGCCCAGGGGCAAGAGUAGCCCCCAGGAGGCCAAGAGAAGUCAAGUUGGCUGUAGAAUUGUUGACAUAUAAAGCAUACGUGGUUCCUGAUGAUAAAUCACCCCGCAAAGGCAUUAAAGAUCGUGCUCAUGAGUGACUCAGAAGCCAAGUAUGUUGGUCCUCUUGUAAUGUGGGCGGCCAAGUUAUGUUGAACGAGAUGAAGGGGUUAGUAUCUCAUGAAUGUGCGUGGGAGGCUGACUGCAUUGGAGAAAGAGUUAAUCAUUAAACUGUUUGCGCCACUACAAUGGGCUGGGGCUGGCCGGGGUCCUCGGGCUGACCCCACUCCUCACCCACCCUGUUGGUAUGUGGCCCACACGGGAAGACCACAGGAAGCUCGGACCGUGGCCCCUGAACAACACGGCAUUUUACUUUGGAAACUGCCAGGACGAGAAAUUAGUGAGGCGGAUGAGGAAAAUCAAUUGGCGUGAUUCGAAUUUGGUAAGGAGGAGGAGAAAUGAGGGAAAGGGAGUGCUCGGGGAAAUCCUGCCUCCUCUGUGAGGUGGGAGUUAUCCGACUCCCAUCUCCAGUGGGGAAGCCAGGCUCAGGGAGGUUAAGUAGCCAGCAGAGGUUUCGCAGCUAGAAAGGGCGGCUGAGCCAGGAUUGAGGGUGCAGGCCUGUGGGCUCCCAAUGCCUGCAGCCUGAGCCCCCAGCUGGGCUGCCCCCGCCAGGCUCCUAAAGCUGCCAGAGAGGAAGGCUUGCAGGCCCUGGCAAGAAAUAGGGGGCCCGGAUCCCGCCUCUGGCUCUGCCCCUCUCGGGUGGUUAUCAGGGAUGAAGCAGUAACAGGGGUGCCAGCCCCACGUCACCAUGACCUGCCCAGUGGCCUUGGAUGGCCUCGCGGCCUCUGUAAAGGAGCUGAUGGUGCCUUCCUCUGGCAGGUAGGGCAGACUGGAUGACGUUUCAGGAUACUGUGCCAUCCCAGGAUUGCAUGAUUCUUGAAUUUCUGGAGUUUUGAAAUGAUAAAGAAUGUCUCUGUGUUCAGAGGGUCUGGGCUCCGGGGCAGAAGCCAGUCCUGCGGACACUGAGCAUCUGUGCCCCCCAGCACCCCGAGAGCUUCCCUUCCUUGUGGCUACCGCACGUCCAGCUCCAUUCCGUUCCCACGUACCUUGCGGAGUGUGGCUCUGCUUCUCGCCCCACAGUGCCCCGCCCCUGCCACCCCUCUCUCCAGGGUCUGCGACAAGAGUCUGUCCCACCAUCAACCUGACUGAGGCACUGGUGUCUUGGAGACCCCCCUGUGCUUCCCCAGGUCUCAGCACUCCACACCGAGUCUCUCCCCCGCCUCAGAGACCCUCAUCUUGUUACGGAAUCUGGACUGGAUCACCCGACGGAAGAACCAAGUGGCACCCGGAGAUCUUGGAGGAUCAGAGGUUUAUUUAACGUCGCGGGCUCAGAGGAGAGUGGUCUCCAAAGGUCUGAGCCCCGAGCACAAAGGGGGGCAAUUUAUACACUUCUUCCUCCGCAUACUUGGCACUUUCGGCGCGUGCGCGAAGCGUGGCCGGGAGAAGAACCCGGAAGAGCCCCGGGGCAACGACUGGGACUCUCGCUGGCUCGGUCGGCCAUCUUAGGACACAGGUUUUCCUUAUCAAUCUAGGUCCCCAGGAUGUCCUCGCUGCCUGAGGAUUCCCUCGGCCAGAGCCACGUAAGGACUCCAGCCUCCUCUCCUCAUGGGGGGCCGUGGCCACUCCUCAAACCUAUUCCUUCUAGCUGUUUCCCUUACGUGAUUCCCAGAGCAGCAGAUGCUGCCUCCUGGACAAAACUUCUUCAGAAGAAGACCAGUCCCCUGUCUUUCUGUCUCUCAACAUGGGACCCCCAGUUCCUGGGAGGGUCCUUCCCCAGGUCCUUAAACCCAUGGCUUCCAGGCGGGUGUGGCUCAGCGAUCACAAAGAUGCCACCUGGGUGGGCCCCGGAGGCCACUUAGCUGGCUGAGAGUGGUGGGAGUCUCCUGAGUCACAGCAUGUCCCAGGGGAACGCCUUUCUUUGACUAUGGUGGGCAGAAUAACAAAGACACCCACAUCCUAAUCUCCAGAGCCUGUGAACAUGGCACAGAUAGGAUUAAGUAGGGAUACUGGGUUGAGAUUAUCCUGGAUUACCCAGAUGGGCCCAGUGUAGUCACAAGGGUCCCUAUGGGUGGCAGAGUCACUGUUGGAGUGAUGAUGUGACUCAACUGGCCAUUGCUUUGAUGGUGGAAGGGGCCAGGGGCCACGGAGCAUGGGCAGCCUCCAGAAACUGGGGAACACGAAGAAACAGAUUGUGCCCUGGAAGCACCUGAAAGAACGUGGCCCUGUAAACACCUUGAUUUUAGCCCAGUGAGAAGCAUUUUCGACUCUGGCCUCCAGAACUGUAAGGGAAUUGUUCUCCACGUGCACAUGUCCAGGGAUGGACGCUGGGCGGCAGGAAGCGAGGCAUCUGUGAGCUGGCAGGUCCUGGAGCCCUUAUGCCCGUGUGGCAUGUGGCAGGACCCCGUCAGCUCUACACAGAGCAGUACGCGCUCUCACACCUGUGCAUCUAGUGAACGCGUGACCCUCCGGCUUAAGACGAUUCCUCCCAGGCUCUCGGGAGCAGGUGCGGCAGACCUACCUGGAAGCCAUGUGUUGAAGAGGCUGGGUCCCAAGACGUGGAGCGUGUGUGUCCCAGCCCCGCACCCUGUGGACUCGUGGUGUGAGCGAGGUGUGACCUCGGUUUGUGACACCUCGAGAUUCCUGGGUUCACUUCUUAUCUGGGCCCGGCCACCUACACUGGAGGAUUCCCCGGGUUUAGGAAGAGCCCCGUGGUCUUGAGAAGGCGCUCAGCGUGUAGCUGGAGAACAUGAGCAUGAUGGGUUAGUACUGCGGGAAGCUGAGGGAACGGUUGCGGGGUUGGCAGGGUCGGGGGGGCAGACCAGCAAGGCAGAGCAGCGGCCCCGGAAGAGGAAGCCUGCCUCGGGAGAGCACUUUUCACUCUCGGAAGCUUCUCCCAAGUCUCCUGUGAUCCCACUCUGGGUUUUUAUCUGUUUUCUUGGGGACCUCAUUCCAUGCAUCUCACAGUGGGUCCAUGGCACCUACAGCUUCUAGAACAACGAAUAAGUCAUGUUGGAUCAAGUUGGUCAUUUUUUAAGCACAGCCAGGAUAAGGACUUCUAAA